UACGUAGGGGGCAAGCGUUGUCCGGAAUCAUUGGGCGUAAAGAGCGUGUAGGCGGCUCGGUAAGUCCGCUCUGAAAGCCCGGGGCUCAACCCCCGGGAGGCGGGCGGAUACUGUCGGGCUAGAGUCCGGAAGAGGCGAGUGGAAUUCCUGGUGUAGCGGUGAAAUGCGCAGAUAUCAGGAGGAACACCAAUGGCGAAGGCAGCUCGCUGGGACGGUACUGACGCUGAGACGCGAAAGCGUGGGGAGCAAACAGG
rnacentral:rRNA from 1 species